GUGAUUUUAGCCUUAUAUCACAAAGUAUGUGCUCAUCCCAUAUCGGGGUCAUUCCAGUGCUGCUUAAGAAGACGAGAGUUUGAUGUAUCUGAAUAUGAUGGAAAUUCAUUUGGAAAGAAGAGUUCAGUCACCCAGAGUCAUCCUCCAGUUGCUGAAGACACAGAGCCAGACUACGAGAACAUCUUUAAUGCUACCGCCAAAUUCCCUGCAGAGCAGAAUAUAUACUGUAAUCAGUAGAAAUACAAAGAUCACCUACAGAACUGUGCAAAUGUCAGAG